AUUGAACGCUGGCGGCAUGCUUUACACAUGCAAGUCGAACGGCAGCGCGGGGCAACCUGGCGGCGAGUGGCGAACGGGUGAGUAAUACAUCGGAACGUACCCAGAAGUGGGGGAUAACGUAGCGAAAGUUACGCUAAUACCGCAUACGUUCUACGGAAGAAAGUGGGGGACCUUCGGGCCUCAUGCUUUUGGAGCGGCCGAUGUCUGAUUAGCUAGUUGGUGAGGUAAAGGCUCACCAAGGCGACGAUCAGUAGCUGGUCUGAGAGGACGACCAGCCACACUGGGACUGAGACACGGACCAGAGGCCUACGGGAGGCAGCAGUGGGGAAUUUUGGACAAGGGGCGCAAGCCUGAUCCAGCAAUGCCGCGUGAGUGAAGAAGGCCUUCGGGUUGUAAAGCUCUUUUGUCAGGGAAGAAACGGCUGAGGAUAAUACCUUCGGCUAGUGACGGUACCUGAAGAAUAAGCACCGGCUAACUACGUGCCAGCAGCCGCCGUAA
rnacentral:rRNA from 1 species